CCUGGCUCAGAGCGAACGUUAGCGGCGCGCCUAACACAUGCAAGUCGCACGAGAAAGGGGGCAACCCCCGGUACAGUGGCGCACGGGUGAGUAACACGUGGGUGAUCUGCCCAGAAGAAGGGGAUAACCUCUCGAAAGGGGGGCUAAUACCGCAUAGGACCACCGGGGCUUUGGCUCUGUGGUGAAAGGGGGCCUCUGUUUACAAGCUCCUGCUUCUGGAUGAGCCCGCGUCCCAUCAGCUAGUUGGUAGGGUAAUGGCCUACCAAGGCUACGACGGGUAGCUGGUCUAAGAGGAUGGCCAGCCACACUGGAACUGAGACACGGUCCAGACUCCUACGGAGGCAGCAGUGGGGAAUCUUGCGCAAUGAGCGAAAGCCUGACGCAGCGACGCCGCGUGGGUGACGAAGGCCUCGGUUGUAAG
rnacentral:rRNA from 1 species